UAUUUUUAGAAAUCUGAACGCCCAUUUCAAAUUAACCCAAAACAUAAAAUGAAGCAUUCGUUACACUGUAACUAACAGCAACCACGGGAUGUAUGCGACCCAUUUUCUGGCUCCACCGCCUUCUACUCCGGCGAAGCGGCGAUGCAGUGUUUUCGCCACGACGGCGAGCAACCGUCGCCAUCGAGAUGAAGUAUAUGUAUCGGCCGUUCCUUUGAGAGCAACCAGAGGGCCGGGGCAAUUAUUGAUGUCCGCUGCGUACUCUCUCAAUUUGUGGGAUUUUCAGCAUUUCAUGGUCAUUGUCAAAUCCUCCUCGCCUCUUCACUCUCAGGUUAACAAUGGCUUGGAAAAUCUGCUGCUCCAAUUACAGUAUUGAUCGUAUUCUUUAGGCCAUUGUUUGUGAUUUUCUUCCUCAAGAUCCAGAGAGUAUACCAGUGGCUGUUGCUGCACUGUCUGGUAGACCAGUACCAGGUGUUGUUCGUAUGAGGAAACUGAAGAAGCUACCAAACAAAAAAUGCUGGUUUGUUGGGUACUCAGAGAUGGAUGCUGUUUAUGCCACAAGCAAAUUCAAUGAAAGCUGGGAAACUGACUUGACAAUAAGCCAUCAUGAUUGUCGAAAUUAUGUAAAUGGUCUAGUUGAACAACUAACUGGUGAGAUAGCAGUGCUGCAGCGCUUGCAGAAAAGCAGUAAUACACAGGUUCAAGACCUAAUACCCCUGAAAGACUAAACAAAAAAUGCUGGUUUGUUUAGACUUUAGACUUCCAGACUUACAUCCUUGAUUAUAUGUAUAUUAGUAAGAUUUACACAUUCUAGAACUUCAUCAAAAACCCAAAUUUUAAACUUAUAAAAGCAUACAGAGAAGAGUUGAUUUGCA